rnacentral:rRNA from 1 species
AGCAGCCGCGGUAAUUCCAGCUCCAAUAGCGUAUAUUAAAGUUGUUGCAGUUAAAAAGCUCGUAGUUGAAUUUCGGGAUCUGUCCGUCGGUCGGGCUUCACGGUCCGCACUGGUGCGAUGGAUUCCUACCUUCUGAACAACCGAUAUGUCAUUAAUUUGAUGUGCCGGGGAAGCAGAACCAUNACCUUGAAAAAAUUAGAGUGGUCAAAGCAGGCUCGUGCCUGAAUACAUUAGCAUGGAAUAAUAAAAUAGGACGGCAUGGUUCUAUUUUGUUGGUUUCUAGGAUCACCGUAAUGAUUAAUAGGGAUAGUUGGGGGCAUUAGUAUUCAAUUGUCAGAGGUGAAAUUCUUGGAUUUAUUGAAGACUAACUUCUGCGAAAGCAUUUGCCAAGGAUGUUUUCAUUAAUCAAGAACGAAAGUUAGGGGAUCGAAGACGAUCAGAUACCGUCGUAGUCUUAACCAUAAACUAUGCCGACUAGGGAUCGGACGAUGUUAAUUUUAUAAUGACUCG